rnacentral:rRNA from 1 species
AGAGUUUGAUCCUGGCUCAGAACGAACGUUGGCGGCGUGGAUUAGGCAUGCAAGUCGAACGAGAACCACUGGGCAACUGGUGGGGAAAGUGGCGAAAGGGGCAGUAAUGCAUGGGUAACCUACCCUGGGGAUCGGGAUAGCCAUUCUAACGGAUGGGUAAUACCGAGCGAUGUAGCGAGAUCGCAUGACCUUGCUACGAAAUGAAUUUCGCCUCGGGAGGGGCUCAUGUGAUAUUAGCUUGUUGGCGGGGUAACGGCCCACCAAGGCUGAGAUGUCUAGCGGGUGUGAGAGCACGACCCGCGCCACUGGCACUGAGACACUGGCCAGACUCCUACGGGAGGCUGCAGUCGAGGAUCUUCGGCAAUGGGCGCAAGCCUGACCGAGCGACGCCGCGUGCGCGAUGAAGGCCUUCGGGUUGUAAAGCGCUGUCGAGGGGGAGGAAGCCGAAAGGUUGACCUAUCCCUGGAGGAAGCACGGGCUAAGUUCGUGCCAGCAGCCGCGGUAAGACGAACCGUGCGAACGUUGUUCGGAAUCACUGGGCUUAAAGGGCGCGUAGGCGGUUGAUCAAGUCCGGGGUGAAAUCUUUCGGCUUAACCGGAAAAGUGCCUUGGAUACUGAUCAGCUGGAGGGAGGUAGGGGCAGCUGGAACUUCCAGUGGAGCGGUGAAAUGCGUUGAUAUUGGAAGGAACGCCGGUGGCGAAAGCGAGCUGCUGGACCUCUUCUGACGCUGAGGCGCGAAAGCUAGGGGAGCAAACGGGAUUAGAUACCCCGGUAGUCCUAGCCCUAAACGAUGGGUACUAGGUAGUGAACUUAACAUGGGUUCACUGCCGAAGCAAAAGUGUUAAGUACCCCGCCUGGGGAGUAUGGUCGCAAGGCUGAGACUCAAAGGAAUUGACGGGGCUCACACAAGCGGUGGAGCAUGUGGCUUAAUUCGAGGCUACGCGAAGAACCUUAUCCUAGGCUUGACAUGUGCGA